AAGUCAAUCAACAAUUCAGGUCGUACGU
rnacentral:sRNA from 1 species